rnacentral:rRNA from 1 species
CCUACGGGUGGCUGCAGUGAGGAAUAUUGGUCAAUGGUCGCAAGGCUGAACCAGCCAAGUCGCGUGAGGGAUGACGGUCCUAUGGAUUGUAAACCUCUUUUGUCAGGGAGCAAAGGACGCCACGUGUGGCGUUUUGCGAGUACAUGAAGAAAAAGCAUCGGCUAACUCCGUGCCAGCAGCCGCGGUAAUACGGAGGAUGCGGGCGUUAUCGGGAUUUAUUGGGUUUAACGGGUGCGCAGGCGGAAUGUAAGGUCAGAGGUAAAGUUUCGGGGCUAAACCCCGUCGUGCCUUUGAAACUGGCGUUCUUGAGUGAGCGAGAAGUAUGCGGAAUGCGUGGUGUAGCGGUGAAAUGCAUAGAUAUCACGCAGAACUCCGAUUGCGAAGGCAGCAUACCGGCGCUUAAAUGACGCUCAUGCACGAAAGCGUGGGUAUCGAACAGGAUUAGAUACCCCUGUAGUC